rnacentral:rRNA from 1 species
GACGAAGGAUGCAAGCGUUAUCCGGAUUCAUUGGGUUUAAAGGGAGCGUAGGUGGUCUUAUAAGUCAGUGGUGAAAUCUCGCAGCUUAACUGCGAAACUGCCAUUGAUACUGUAGGACUUGAGUAUAGUUGCUGUGGGCGGAAUAUGACAUGUAGUGGUGAAAUACUUAGAGAUGUCAUAGAACACCGAUUGCGAAGGCAGCUCACAAAACUAUAACUGACGCUGAGGCACGAAAGUGCGGGGAUCAAACAGG